rnacentral:rRNA from 1 species
UACAGAGGUUCCAAGCGUUGUUCGGAUUCACUGGGCGUAAAGGGUGCGUAGGUGGCGGGGUAAGUCGGAUGUGAAAUCUCGGAGCUCAACUCCGAAAUGGCAUUGGAAACUACCCUGCUAGAGGGUCGGAGGGGGGACUGGAAUACUUGGUGUAGCAGUGAAAUGCGUAGAUAUCAGGAAGAACACCCGUGGCGAAAGCGGCUCUCUGGAACGGUACUGACGCUGAGACGCGAAAGCGUGGGGAGCGAACAGG